CUGCAGGUGGGUUAGGGAGGGAUGAAAGGCUCUGACAUACAGGUUAUAAACGCCAUGGCUAUGACUAGUGUCAAGCUGCUUGCUGGUAUUUUAAGAAAACCAGACGUCUGGAUUGGACUCUGUGGUGUUCUCCGAAGGACAACUUUGUCAUACAAUCUCUGUACUUACUGGAAUCGAUACUUGUAUUUGUCUAGUACCAAGUUACAUGCACCAAAUUAUAAAACACUUUUCCAUAUUUUCUCGCUGAGACUCCCAGGGCUUUUAAUAUCUCCAGAAUAUAUUUUUCCAUUUUCCAUAUGACUCAAAAGUAAUAUAAGCUCUAAAAAAUCUACUAAAAAGUCUCUGCAAAAAGAUGAUGAAGAGGACUCUUAUGAAGAAAGUGAUCAUGACAAGAUGAGCGAGCAGGAAGCAAAGCUUGAGGAUGACCCUACUACACUGAAAGACUAUAAAGCCGUGGAAAAAGCAGUGCAGUCUUUUUGAUAUGAUGCUGUCCUGAAGAUGGGCCUAGACAUUGGGAGAAACAAAGUGGAAUAUGCAUUCUACAAAGGGGAACUCAGGCUGAAUGAGGAAAAAUUAUGGAAGAAAAGCAGAAUAGUCAAAGUGGGAGAUACACUGGAUCUUCUCACUGGAGAGGAUAAAUAUUUGAGGAGAAGACUGAAAGUAAAAAAUACAGUGGUGGUACAAUGGUGGAAAAUUUAAAGUUGCUUAAGAAGAGAAUGUCUAAAUAAAUGGAUUGCUUUUUAGCAAUAAAGCUGCUUUCUAGUGGCAGAGGAUGGGGUCAACUGAGAAAAAGGACAUUUUUAUGAAAAUAAAGUUCAGUGUUUGUGG